UGCCUUGUAGCUCAGGGGUAGAGCGAUCGCCUGUUAAGCGAAUGGUCGUAGGUUCAAUCCCUACCAAGGCAGCCA
rnacentral:tRNA from 1 species